AUUUCUUAGGACUGAGGGAAACAUUUCUUCAGCAGACUGAGAAACAUGCUUAGCCAUAUACUACUGUUUUGGGGGAUCUUUCUUAUCUUGGGGCAUGCAUCCCUUGCUGAUGUCUUACCACCAGGAGG